rnacentral:rRNA from 1 species
UACGUAGGGAGCGAGCGUUGUCCGGAUUCAUUGGGCGUAAAGAGCUCGUAGGCGGCUUGGCAAGUCGGGUGUGAAAACUCCAGGCUCAACCUGGAGACGCCACCCGAUACUGCCAUGGCUAGAGUCCGGUAGGGGACCACGGAAUUCCUGGUGUAGCGGUGAAAUGCGCAGAUAUCAGGAGGAACACCGGUGGCGAAGGCGGGUCUCUGGGCCGAAACUGACGCUGAGGAGCGAAAGCGUGGGGAGCAAACAGG